GAUGAACGCUGGCGGCGUGCCUAAUACAUGCAAGUCGAGCGAACAGACGAGGAGCUUGCUCCUCUGACGUUAGCGGCGGACGGGUGAGUAACACGUGGAUAACCUACCUAUAAGACUGGGAUAACUUCGGGAAACCGGAGCUAAUACCGGAUAAUAUAUUGAACCGCAUGGUUCAAUAGUGAAAGACGGUUUUGCUGUCACUUAUAGAUGGAUCCGCGCCGCAUUAGCUAGUUGGUAAGGUAACGGCUUACCAAGGCAACGAUGCGUAGCCGACCUGAGAGGGUGAUCGGCCACACGGGAACUGAGACACGGUCCAGACUCCUACGGGAGGCAGCAGUAGGGAAUCUUCCGCAAUGGGCGAAAGCCUGACGGAGCAACGCCGCGUGAGUGAUGACGGUCUUCGGAUCGUAAAACUCUGUUAUUAGGGAAGAACAAAUGUGUAAGUAACUAUGCACGUCUUGACGGUACCUAAUCAGAAAGCCACGGCUAACUACGUG
rnacentral:rRNA from 1 species